GCUUCACCCCGCACUUCCCUCUUUCUACUGCUAAUAGCUCUCCCUAUACAACCAAGCAUUCUGCUAGCAUUUCCUGCCUACCUUUAAGUCAUCAGAAAUAAUCACCUCUAAAUCCCUUUUCUCAGAUGUUGAGGUUAGGACUCUGUCAAAUAUUCUGCACUUUGCCCUUGGGUUUUUACAUCCAAGAUGCAUUAUCUUGCACUUAUUCACAUUAAAUGUCAGUUGCCACAACUCUGGCCAUUUUUCUAGUUUACCUAAAUCAUUUGCCAUUUGGCUUAUCCUUCCUGGAAUAUCAACCCUGUUACAUAUCUUAGUAUCAUCAGCAAAAAUACACACCUUACCAUUAAUACCUUCUGCAAUAUCACUAAUAAAAAUAUUAAAGAGAAUGGGUCCAAGUACAGAUCCCUGAGGUACCCCACUGGUGACAAACCCAUGCUUCGAAUAUAUUCCAUUGACUACAACCCUCUGUUGCCUGUCACUCAGCCACUGCCUUACCCAUUCAACAAUAUUGGAAUCCAAACUUAAAUAUUGCAGUUUAUUGAUGAGCCUUCUACGUGCAAC